rnacentral:rRNA from 1 species
UUUUGAUGGGAGAUCAGUAGAAAUAAGUCUUCUACUAUUAUAUUAAUCUGACUAGGUAUUUCCUAACUUUAUAUGUGUGACUAGCUACUCCUGGGAUAACAGCGGAGUUUCUCCCGAAAGAUGGUAUUGGAGGGGAAGAUUGCGACCUCGAUGUUGGCUUUAGAUAUCCUAGAGGCGUAGAAGCUUCUGAUGGUGGGUCUGUUCGCCCUUUAAAAUCUAACAUGAGCUGAGUUCAGAACGGCGUGAGCUAGUUCAGUUUCUAUCCUCUUUUUAAAAUGAGCUAAUUUUGUACGAAAGGACUUUUUCGCUAAAGCAAUGCUUUGUCACAAAUCUGUGGUUGCAUAAAUAAUAGUGUAUAACAGGUUGAUUAGCCUAUAGGAAGGGUUG